rnacentral:rRNA from 1 species
ACUCAAAUGAAUUGACGGGGGCCCGCACAAGCGGCGGAGCAUGUGGAUUAAUUCGAUGCAACGCGAAGAACCUUACCUGGGUUUGACAUGCACAGGACGACCGCAGAGAUGUGGUUUCCCUUGUGGCCUGUGUGCAGGUGGUGCAUGGCUGUCGUCAGCUCGUGUCGUGAGAUGUUGGGUUAAGUCCCGCAACGAGCGCAACCCUUGUCUCAUGUUGCCAGCACGUGGUGGUGGGGACUCGUGAGAGACUGCCGGGGUCAACUCGGAGGAAGGUGGGGAUGACGUCAAGUCAUCAUGCCCCUUAUGUCCAGGGCUUCACACAUGCUACAAUGGCCGGUACAAAGGGCUGCGAUGCCGUGAGGUGGAGCGAAUCCUUGUAAAGCCGGUCUCAGUUCGGAUCGGGGUCUGCAACUCGACCCCGUGAAGUCGGAGUCGCUAGUAAUCGCAGAUCAGCAUUGCUGCGGUGAAUACGUUCCCGGGCCUUGUACACACCGCCCGU